AGCGAGCCAAUAGCAAAGAAGUAAAAGACCGCCCUCCAGUCCCACGGGCCGCCAUGCAGGAGAGGAUUAUACUGCAUAUGCGGCCUCACACCCCCUUCAAAUCGCUGUUAAUGUCAGUUACUUGUCUUGGAGCUGGGUCCCAUCCUAACAGCAUCCUCAGAAUCAGCACAGUAGCCGUUUCUGCACCCAAGACAAACGGCAUCUCUGCGUGUGAGUUUUGAAUGUAAGAGUAGAAAUGUGCGAUGGGAUAUGAACAUGUGAGAUGCAGGACGAGGCUAGAGAUGCUGAAUCCCCUGGAACUGGAGUUAGAGGUGGAUGUCAGGCACCUGACCUGCCAAGAACCAAAUUGCCAUCCUCUAGAAGAGCAGCAGUACCUGUCCCCUCCCAGCAGUGUGGUACCCUAGCCCUGCAUCGGGUCAUUUGAAAGCUAAUCAUUGUCGACAAUAAAGAAUUCUACUUAUGUCUGAAAAGCUUGGAUAUUUAAUUAAAGAAUGCCAGAACAAG